CGACCCUAGAGAUAGGGCUUUCCCUUCGGGGACAGAGUGACAGGUGGUGCAUGGUUGUCGUCAGCUCGUGUCGUGAGAUGUUGGGUUAAGUCCCGCAACGAGCGCAACCCUUGAUCUUAGUUGCCAGCAUUCAGUUGGGCACUCUAAGGUGACUGCCGGUGACAAACCGGAGGAAGGUGGGGAUGACGUCAAAUCAUCAUGCCCCUUAUGACCUGGGCUACACACGUGCUACAAUGGACAGAACAAAGGGCUGCAAGACCGCAAGGUUUAGCCAAUCCCAUAAAUCUGUUCUCAGUUCGGAUCGCAGUCUGCAACUCGACUGCGUGAAGCUGGAAUCGCUAGUAAUCGCGGAUCAGC
rnacentral:rRNA from 1 species